AGUGAACGCUGGCGGUAGGCCUAACACAUGCAAGUCGAACGGCAGCACAGUAAGAGCUUGCUCUUACGGGUGGCGAGUGGCGGACGGGUGAGGCAUACAUCGGAAUCUACUUUUUCGUGGGGGAUAACGUAGGGAAACUUACGCUAAUACCUCAUACUACCUACGGGUUAAAGCAGGGGAUCUUCGGACCUUGCGCGAUUGAAUGAGCCGAUGUCGGAUUAGCUAGUUUGCGGGGUAAAGGCCCACCAAGGCAACGAUCCGUAGCUGGUCUGAGAGGAUGAUCAGCCACACUGGAACUGAGACACGGUCCAGACUCCUACGGGAGGCAGCAGUGGGGAAUAUUGGACAAUGGGCGCAAGCCUGAUCCAGCAAUACCGCGUGGGUGAAGAAGGCCUUCGGGUUGUAAAGCCCUUUUGUUGGGAAAGAAAAGCAGAAGGUUAAUAACCCGCUGUUCUGACGGUACCCAAAGAAUAAGCACCGGCUAACUUCGUG
rnacentral:rRNA from 1 species